rnacentral:misc_RNA from 1 species
AAGUCGUAACAAGGUUUCCGUAGGCGGAAGGAUCACUAACAAGUAUCCAACGUUAAACCCCCUGUACUUUUAUACUUGCUCUCCUAGCCCGCCGGAAUUGUAAUCCCUGGUAAAUCAUUGUUGAACAGAUUUUGAUUCAGGCCUCAGUUUGGUAGGCGAAGAUCGAGCGAUCGUUGCAAGUGGCCUGGUUUCCCCAAGCAGUCAGUGUCUGGAAGUGUCACCGAUUGCGUAAGGAUAACGCUUUUCGAUCACUAGAGGCCGGUGACCAGGUCGCCGUGGCUUCGGCCCCCUAUAUUAACCCCACUACCUGAACUCGCCUCGUAGGAAACUGCUGGGCAACAAAACGAACAAUUGUUAACAAUGGAUAUCUUAGUUCUC